GCGGCUAUAGCUCAGUGAUAGAGCCCCUCUUCGCAUGCGAGGAGACCCGGGUUCGAUUCCCGGCUGCU
rnacentral:tRNA from 1 species